UACGUAGGGCGCAAGCGUUGUCCGGAAUUAUUGGGCGUAAAGAGCUCGUAGGCGGCUUGUCACGUCGGGUGUGAAAGCCCGGGGCUUAACCCCGGGUCUGCAUUCGAUACGGGCUGGCUAGAGUGUGGUAGGGGAGAUCGGAAUUCCUGGUGUAGCGGUGAAAUGCGCAGAUAUCAGGAGGAACACCGGUGGCGAAGGCGGUCUCUGGGCCAUUACUGACGCUGAGGAGCGAAAGCGUGGGGAGCGAACAGGAUUAGAACUACCGUUAGUCAG
rnacentral:rRNA from 1 species